ACAAUAACGUUGUCAUGGAGGGAAGUAUGGAGAGUCAAUAGAGACUCUGUCUAGGAUGAGCGAGAGCAAUAAUGCGUGGCAUUACAAAGAAGGUUCUGAAGGGUUCAUUCAUGAACUUCAGAAGGUUCAACCAAAUUAUUGUACAUCAGUUUAUAGAAGAAGGGCGCAUUUACGAAUGUCUGGCUGAGGUCCACCAUCGCUUAAAAUUUAGCAUCUCGCUAUCCAUGCAAAUAAUGCAUUGUACAUAAAAUAUGUAUUAAAUGUAUAUGUAUACAUUUAUCAUGGAAAAUAUAAACGUUAAAUAGCCAAAUGCCUCGUUAUCUAAUUAGUAACGCGCAUGAAUGGAUUAACAAGAUUCCCACUGUUCCUAUCUACUAGCAAAAAUACUACCAAGGAAACGGGCUUGAAAAAAUUAGAGAAAAAAGAAGACCCUAUUAAGCUCUAGUCUGGCACUGUAAGAAGACAUAAGAGAUGUAGCAUAAGUGGAAGAUGACAACAUCGCUGGUAAAAUACACUACUUUCAUUGUUACCUUAUUUACUCGAUUGAGAGUGCGUGCCCUGGCGGUCAUGGUGUUCUAAAGCCAAGCGUCAAAGUGGUGUGAAGCCUCGGCCGGUUGUCAGUGAUAUCCUUGCGUGAACCGACUCAAGGACACUACCAAGCGGGAAGUUUGACUAGGGCGGUACAUCUGUCAGAGAAUAACGCAGGUGUUCUAAGACCAGUUCUUCAACGAAGACAGAAUCCUCGCGUAGAGCAAAAGGGCAAAAGCUGGCUUGAUCUCGAUGUUUAGUACGCAUAGAGACUACAAAACACAAACAAUCCUUUUGGCUUAAAGAAUUUUCAGCAAGAGGUGUCAGAAAAGUCACCACAGGGAUAACUGGCUUGUGGCAGACAAGCGUUCAUUGCGACCUUUUUUGAUCCUUUGAUAUCGGUUCUUACUAUCAUUGAAAAGCAGAAUUCGCCAAGCGUCGGAUUGUACAUCCGCCAAUAGGGAACAUGAGCUGGGUUUAAACCAUCAUGAGACAGGUUAGUUUUACUGUCUACCUACUGAUGACAAGUCAUUGCAAUAGUAAUUCUGCUCAAUAUGAGAAGAACCAAAGCUUCAAACAUUUAAAUCACACACUCAGUCGAGAGGCCGGUGGUGCGAAGGUACUAUCCGUGAGAUUAUGUUUGAACGCAUCUAAGGCCGUAUCCUCUCUCCAGUCAAAGAAACAAUAAUAUCUCUAGAAGUCUAGUCAGUCGAAAGGCUCAAAACAAUGUGACAUUAGUAGACGGCCGGUUUACGGACCGAUCGUCGCACGAGCAUAGUUUGUCGUACGGCACCUUCGCCCAUCGUCGGGAUUUCACCGCUUCGAUGGCACGGCGUCCAACAUGUGAACAUGAAUUUCGCAACGCGAGUUCAAUGUCAAGAAUCGUCUGUAGACGACUUAGGUACCUGGCGGGGUGUUGUACUCGGUAGAGCAGUUAACAUCAUGCGAUCUGUUGAGAAUUAGUUUUUCGGUUUGGGGAUUCGU
rfam:Trachymyrmex septentrionalis contig20105, whole genome shotgun sequence.